rnacentral:rRNA from 1 species
GACGAACGCUGGCGGCAGGCUUAACACAUGCAAGUCGAACGCAUCGCAAGAUGAGUGGCAGACGGGUGAGUAACGCGUGGGAACAUACCCUUUUCUACGGAAUAGCUCUGGGAAACUGGAAUUAAUACCGUAUACGCCCUACGGGGGAAAGAUUUAUCGGGGAAGGAUUGGCCCGCGUUGGAUUAGCUAGUUGGUGGGGUAAAGGCCUACCAAGGCGACGAUCCAUAGCUGGUCUGAGAGGAUGAUCAGUCACAUUGGGACUGAGACACGGCCCAAACUCCUACGGGAGGCAGCAGUGGGGAAUAUUGGACAAUGGGCGCAAGCCUGAUCCAGCCAUGCCGCGUGAGUGAUGAAGGCCUUAGGGUUGUAAAGCUCUUUCACCGAUGAAGAUAAUGACGGUAGUCGGAGAAGAAGCCCCGGCUAACUUCGUGCCAGCCGCCGCAGUAAAAC